rnacentral:hammerhead_ribozyme from 1 species
ACCCAACUGACAAGUCCCAAAUAGGACAAAGCGCGCGUCUUGGAU